GCCACCAGAAACAAACAGAGCAGACGAAGUCAACAAAGAUCAUUCUCUGUUCUUAGAUCUGAAUCAACUCGACCCCAAAAGAGAAAAAUAAGCGAUAAAAAGACUGCUCAUGACCAAUCAUGGAACCGCAUAAACAUUGGAAUUAAUUUGAAAGCUGGAAGAGUUCAUUGGCUGGUAACGUUAAGUACGAUGUACGCCUACCACGAUACGCCUUGGUCUCCUUCUACCAACGAGAGCUGUUACAUGAGGGGCUGUUCGGGUGUCUGGAGUAAAUCCCUUUUGUUCAAACUCAAACUCCAAUCCAAGGACAACCUGGCCUGAUUACUCCUUGUGUCCCCAGUCGACCUGGUCGUGCUGUUGCUCCAGUUUCAACUGUUCUGCCUGCGGCUAUGGAACCCUGACCUGUUCACCGGACGUGCUACCUUGUCCUGGACCUGCUGUUUAAGACUCGCUCUAUCGCACCUGCUGUUUCUAAUAUCGGAAUGAUCGGCUAUGAAAAGCCAACUGUCAUUCACUCCUGAGGUGCUGACCUGUUGCACCCUCUACAACCACUGUGAUUAUUAUUAUUUGACUCUGCUGGUCAACUAUGAAUGUUUGACCAUCUUGUCCAUGUACUGUACUGUUAUAAUCUCCACUCGGCACAGCCAGAAGAGGACUGGCCACACCUCAGAGCCUGGUUCCCCUCUUGGUUUCUUCCUAUGUUCCUGCCUUUCUAGGGAGUUUUUCCUAGCCACUGUGCUUCUACAUCUGCAUUGCUUGCUGUUUGGGGGUUUAAAGCUGGGUUUCUGUACAGCACUUUGUGACAUCUGCUGAUGUAAAAAAUGGCAUUAUAAAUACAUUUGAUUGAGUACAGACCAGUACAGUCCAAUACAACAGAGGGACUCUGUGAUCCUGACUGAAGAGGACUUAUCCCCCCCUCCCCCGCCUAAAGAAUGUAUUUUUAACAGAAAACAGGAUCCUCCAUUAUAGUGAAUGGGAAAAUGUCAAUCUUCGUGUAAACAAAAAUAUGUUUAGAAAACAGUCAUGGUCCCAAUGUUUGCUUCUAAUACACCAGAUGUGUGUCCUUGAACCGAUUAUUACAGAAGAAGUUAUACAGAUAAUUAAGUUGCUAAUGGCAGCCUCUAGUACUCUUGCAAUGUCACAUCCUGGAGUAGCUCAAACUGCGCGUAUUAUGAAUCCAUGAGAUGCCAUCUUAAUCGACAUCAUUUGGCUUCAAUGCAUCACUGAGUCUUCACAUAGGAAUGAAUGAUGUCACAUGAUCGAUGGCUUUGUCCAUUCAUAUACAGUAAUCACUUUCUCCUCUCCUCACCUUCCUCCCUGAACUUAGCCUGCCCUGGUUGCCAUAUCAGGCAACCCCGGCUACCCUGAACUCUGUAUAAGCUUAAACUACACUUUCGGCAGACACCGAGUGGCCCCGUCCAUCUUUUCCUAGGUUAGUCAUUAUGUGGAGUUUCUGGGAGUAAGACAUCGUUAAACUCACAAGCACAGUUGAUAUUCCAGGAAGUGAAUAAGAAACAUUCCCAGUUUACAUUAGGUCCCAAUGUGACUUAAAUGGGUAUUUCCUUCAUGGGGCUCCUUGGGGAAUAUCUAACAUGAAAUGCUGACACAAGCAUCACAAACAUUUGUUUUCAUAACGUUUUUCUCUCCAAACCAGAGAGGCCAGAGAGCAGUGGAGGGUGCAGAGGGAACAGUCUUAGUUUGCUAGAGUAUGUGACAGAGGAAAGGCGAGGCCCAUUUGGA